UACGUAGGUGGCAAGCGUUGUCCGGAUUUACUGGGCGUAAAGAGCGCGCAGGCGGCUGGGCAAGUCCGAUGUGAAAGCUCCCGGCUUAACUGGGAAAUUGCAUCGGAAACUGCUCGGCUUGAAGGUGGGAGAGGGUAGCGGAAUUCCCGGUGUAGUGGUGAUAUGCGUAGAUAUCGGGAGGAACACCAGUGGCGAAGGCGGCUUUCUGGGCAUUUCCUGACGCUGAGACGCGAAAGCGUGGGGAGCGAACCGG
rnacentral:rRNA from 1 species